GUGUUCGCUUCGGCAACACAUAUGUUAAGAUUAGAAUGAUACAGAGAAGAUUAGCAUGACCCCUGAGCAAUAAGACACAAAAAUUUGUAAAGCAUUCCAUAUUUUA